AUAAAUAACAACAAAAUAUUAAAUAUGUUAUAUUUUUAAUUAUUUUAUUGGUAAUAAUACAAGUAUUCAACAAAUUUCCUGUGCUAAAUAUUUCAGCCCUAUAUGCAGAGUAGUAUCACUAAGAUUAUUGUAGUUGUUUUUAUAAAAAAAUUUUUUUUGAAUUUACAAUAUUAUAUUCUAUUAUUAUCUUUAGUCUUUACAAUAGAUAGAUAUAUCAAUAACUUUGAUUCAUCUAGUUGAUGAGAUUUUGUUAAAAGUUUUCAAUGCGCCGAUCUACAACAAAAAGUUACCAAUGUACCUUUCAUUGUUUUUCAUCUUUCAUCUACUUUCCUGCAAUUUCUUUUAAUUUUUAUCCAAACUGUUUUCCUGGUUUCAAAAAGUGAUGGACAACCCUGCCUUCCUUAUUAUUUAUGGUACCAUCCGUCAAUUUAUCUAGGUCCAUGAUACGAAAAUGUUGUGUAUUUAGUUGAUGAGGAUGUACGGCGAGUGUGUUCCUAUUUCCUGAAUAGCUACCACCUCAUACAUUAAUAGGUACAAAGUAAUUCACACCUCUUAAAAUCAAAUUUUGUAAACGGGAAAUUACACCAAAAGUACUAAAUUUAUUGGUAACCACUCGCCUCACACUCUCGUAACAAUGUUCAUGUCAACGGUGUCAAUGCCGGUUUUACAAAAAGGGCCAAAAUUUAUUUUAUUUUUGAUCUAAUAUCAUAAUUUUUCAAUACUUCUUAGAGAAAAUUAUGAUAUUAAAAGUGUUGUGAUGAGUACAUUAUACGUAUACUUAUUAUUAAGUUGUCAAUAGUCAUGAUUUUCUCCAAUUGAAGUGGGCAAAUAUUUUAGAUGUUAGGAUUUUUUUUUUCUUAACAAGUGCAUUUUUUGUUUUUGUUUAUAGGAAUGUGUCAAGGAAUGCGAAGUUAAUGACGAAGCAUGCGCGCUAGUGUACAUUUUCUCUCCUAACACUUCUAUUGUGUUAAAAUAUAAAAUAUAAAGUAUGGCUUGAGCGCGUUUAGGUCCCUUUAUAAGCAUAGUACGAUUUCAAAAAUAUCAGAAUAUAUUUUGUGUCGUAGUAUGUUGCUGCGUAGUUGCGCGUUUUGUCUGUUGGCUGUUAAAAUUGUUAUAAAUGCUUUUCCUUUCUUAGUUAAAGAAAACUAUAAUUGUUUUAACAAGUUUCCCAUGUAAUAUUAUUUUAGCAGCCUUCACAGAUAAUUUUUGGUCUUUGUUUAGACUGGCAUAAUAUUACAUGUCUUCUUCUGCGCUUUUCCAACUUAAAAAAACUUUUUGGAGGGAAUUUGUACAUAACACUUUUUUCAAUCUGUUUUCCGUUUACACUUAAACUAUAAGACACAGCUAUUG